UCUUUCCAAUAGCUCUCUCUCUUUCGUUUCAAUUCACGAAAACUCUCGGUCUCCCUCUCUUUGAUUGCUAUAUCUUUCUGUUUCUCUCCAUCGAUCUCUCUCUUGCUCAAUCAACAACAACCUUCGGUCUCCCUAUGUUCUCAUCGUUCUCCAUGAUUCAAACAGCAAAAACCAGAAACAUUCUCAUGUCAUCAAAACCCUAGAGUUUCAAAAUUAGAUUAAAUAGCAAUGGAGUGCAAGUUCAAUCGAAUAUCAUGGGGGCUAUUACCGAUCAAGUCUCGAUGAACACAGUGGUAUUUUUAAAAAAAAAGCGAAGAAGGAGAUCUUACACGGUCGGAGCUUCUCCGACGAGACUUUCUUUUCCGGCGGUGGUUCAGACGGGUCUGGUUCAUUGCAGGUGAGGUGAUGAAGCAGAUGAGUUCAAUGGCUCAUUGAUUCAUUUAAUUGAUGCUGCAGCUUUUUGAAUUGAUUUGUUGGUUGUGGCUGCUAUGGUGCUGUAAGUGAUGUUUAGCAGGAAAUUAGAAUAAGUUUUGGUUUGUGUUGUUGUGUCUGAUUUUUGAACUUUCUAAUCUCAUAAUCACAUGGAAGUAAAUCACCAUAGGUCCUGUGAGUUUAGUUUUUGUCUUGUAAAGUUAUGGUUACGGUAGGUUAUCCUUACAGGUUAUGAAGGCUUUAUGAUUGACUAAAUUCACAGCAUUAUGUCAGAUUAAGCUUUUGAUUUUUAGCAGUGAAUGAAAGUUCCAUUAGAAAAGGCAUUGUAUGUAAAUUUGACAUAAUUCUCUGGUGUUCAAUUCUGCUAGUCACCAACUUUGUGACCUGUUUAUGAUGACAAAUAGACUUUUAAUCAAAAAUAUUUUGUUAAACAAACUUUCUGGUUUAUUGGUUUUUACUUACUCUUGCACAAGCAAUCAUGUAUUCUUUUAAAAGAAAGAUAUUAUCCUUAAGAUUAAAUUCAAGAUAGAAAUUCAACAAUGAAACGUGAAAUGUAUUUGAGGUGUAGUUGGUAAAACUUUUGUACUGAUAUUUGUGAUAUGGGUGAAGUUUAAGGUGAAUUCAGUUCCAUUAAAACUUGUGUACUGAUAUUUGUUGAUACGCGUGGAGUUUAAGGUGAAUUCAAUUCCACUAAAAAAAUUAUGCUCUUAUCUUUAAAUCCAUUUGUUGGAUUAUGUGUUGCCUUGUACUUAUUAAAUUAUGUUUAAGUGUUGCAUUAUCUCUCUUCUUAAAAAAAAUCAUCAAACAACCUCAUUUUGAAUGAAUCUGUCACAUAGGUUGUGAGGGAAAGUGGAGCGCAGCAGAAGAAUGCUUCAAAUGAAGUCAUCUUAAUAGAAGUGAUAACAUGUAUUGCAUUUGUUUGGGGAUGGUGGGAAUGGUGAGAAAGAACUAAUAAAAACCGAUGUAGUUCACAAAGUUAAGAAUAGUUUUUUUCUCCAAAAUUUGCUAAUAAAAGUUGUCUAUGUCAAUUGUAAUUCUAUGUUUGAAUACAUUUUUAUAAUUGAUUCAACAAGAUAUCUAAAAUUGAACUAAAUUUUAUGGUGAAAGCAAGUCGAAGACAAGGAAUCAAAAAAGAAAACUAUUAAAAGGGAAGUAAUAGAAAAAGAAAACUAUCAAGGACAUGAUGUGUUUUGAUUAGCUGAAGUAAGUUCAUUGGAAAGCUCAUUAUGUCAUUUUGCAGGAUACUACCAGUUCUUUGAAAGCUCACUUGAUCAACAAAGGACUGUUGUGGGCAACCUUGUCUCAAAUACACACGAGAAGUUAACAAACACUAACUGAAAAAGAGAGACAAGAUCUUGGUCCUACAAACAUAUUAUUUGAGGCUCUAAAUCUCCCAAACUAUCCUGGGCGUGUUAGGAGGCUCUAAAUCCUGGUGCUGUUUUGUUAUUCUUUCUUGUUUUUUUAGGUGUUUUGUUUAGAGAAUAUGAUUUUUUGCUUUAGGAUUUAGAUUAAAGUACUCUUGGAAUGUAUGCAUAUACAAAUUUUUUCUAUGCACAUGACCUCUUUUUUUAGUACAUCAAAAUGUUAUGUUAUGAUAUUUAUAAACAAG